rnacentral:rRNA from 1 species
UACAGAGGGUGCAAGCGUUAUUCGGAUUUACUGGGCGUAAAGCGUGCGUAGGUGGUUUUUUAAGUCAGGUGUGAAAUCCCCGGGCUCAACCUGGGAACUGCAUUUGAUACUGAAAAGCUAGAGUGUGGUAGAGGAUAGUGGAAUUCCCGGUGUAGCGGUGAAAUGCUUAGAUAUCGGGAGGAACACCAGUGGCGAAGGCGGCUAUCUGGACCAACACUGACACUGAGGCACGAAAGCGUGGGUAGCAAACAGG